GGAAGUAAAAGUCGUAACAAGGUUUCCGUAGGUGAACCUGCGGAAGGAUCAUUACUGAUUUAGCGAACCGAGCGUUAGCGAGGUUUUGCGAUCAACUUGUAUUUAAAACCCACUCUUCAAUGUAUAAAAUUUGUAUUAAUGAUAAAUUAAAAGAUCACUUCCAACAACGGAUCUCUUGGCUCUCGCAUCGAUGAAGAACGUAGCGAAGUGCGAUAAGUAAUGUGAAUUGCAGUCUUCCGUGAAUCAUCGAACCUUUGAACGCAUAUUGCACUUUCUGGUAUUCCGGAAAGUAUGCCUGUUUGAGGGUCAGUUAAAUAAAAAUCGGUGUUGUUGCCGCUUUCCGUGGUGACGCGUCGGAAUUGAGUCGUCUUCGGUUAAGUGACUUAAAAUUUUAUAUGAUUUUCGAGCGUAUUUAAAUUUAUUUGAACGUUUGAUAUCGAAUGCUUAUUAGGUUCGGUCAUCCUCAUGACUCGCGCCUAUAAUUUUUCAUUAAAUGACCUCAAAUCAGGUAAGAAUACCCGCUGAACUUAAGCAUAUCAAUAAGCGGAGGA
rnacentral:rRNA from 1 species